CACAGGGCCCAGGACGGUGGCUCUGAUUCGCUGUACCCCAGGGACGGCACUGCCUGUGCGUGAUGAACAGACAGCGGUGCCCAAACACCUCAAGGCGCGCAAACAAACCCAAAGCUAAGGGAGGUUCUAGCCCUCAUGGUUGCAGGGAAAAGACUGAAAAUGUGAAGCACGUGCACACUUAACGGCUCAGAAACCAGAAGAAACAAAAACUUAACAUGUAUUAUUUUUAAAACCCCUCUGGACUUUUAAGCCAAAUCUCA